rnacentral:ncRNA from 1 species
CACCGCCCGUCGCUACUACCGAUUGAACGGCUUAAUGAGGACUUGGGAUUGGUAUUCGGGAGCUGGCAACGGCACCUGAAAGCUGAAAACUUGUUCAAAUUUGGUCGUUUAGAGGAAGUAAAAGUCGUAACAAGGUUUCUGUAGGUGAACCUGCAGAAG